rnacentral:lncRNA from 1 species
CUUGUAUCACUUUUUGUACUUCCUCCAAGAUAUUCCAUGAACCAGAAACACCAUUUUCCAAUUCAGUAUCUAUCACUACAUCAAUUCAUGGGCUUAUUCCCAUCAAUAUAACCUAAACAUUUCACCAUUACGAACUUAUCAUUCUAGAAGCAAUGAGACUAUUAACAGACUUUUAACUUUCACUUUGCAUGCAAGUUCCCUUUACCCAUGUAGUCAUUCUCAAUAUGUGCAUGUAGCCAUCCCCACAUUUCUGGUUUUUGAGAAGCCUUACCAAGCUUUCACAGCUUGAGCAAGUUCUCAUUUUUCCAUUCUAAGACAAUAAAUAUAACAUGAAGAUAAAACUCUUUUUUCAUAGCUAAAUGAUAAAAUUUAAUACAAUCAGAGACAUAACUAUGUCAACCAGCUCUGAAUUCUCACCUUGUAUAAUGUCAUUGUUCAAUUCAAUCAGCCUUUAUCCUCUUCUUCACAUCCAAUCUCACUGCAAAAUCAACAAACAUUAUAGAACCUCAAUAUCUACAAUUUUACAAUCCCUUCCCCAUAAACAAUGUUAACAUCCACAGUAUUUUGUGCAGAAAAAAUUGAUCAAAUAAUGUCCUUAUCACCUUCAUUUUACUCAAUUCAAUCAUAAUUGAAUUCAAGUCAAUCAAUAAUUAAGUAAAUCCCUAAUUGAAUUGAGAGAAAAGCCAAAAAGGCAAGACUUAGCAUAUUCGUACAAUAGUUUACUUUUUCUUUUCAAGUUGGAAUAGUUGUAAGAUUCAAUAUGAAAUCAGAAUACAAUCAGCAUCAUAAAAAUUCUUGCAAAAAAAUAGAAUUCAAUAGCAUGAUCGAAUUAAGGACCAAUAUUAGAAGUAUUGGAGCUUUUAACAUCUGAAAUGUGCAAUUUGAUUAAAUUAAGAAUUGCAAUCCAUAGAAAGCAACGGCAAAAGUUGAAGCUGCAGUAAGCUUAUAAAUAAAUAAAAACAACGAGGCAAAUGAUGAGCAAGAAAGAGAAGAUAUAAAAUGUGAUGAGAACCAUCAAGGGACCAUUAAAACUUCAAGUGAUCCUUUGCACAUUCAUGGAGGCCCAAUUACAAGAGCAAGAGCCAAAAAGAUGCAAGCUGCUUUAAAUGGAUUAAUUGAGAAAAUAUGGAUUGAAAAUGCAAUUCAAGAUGCAAGACAUCAUGAAUUGAGCUUGAAGAGAAGACAAGGCAUUGUGGGCAUUAUUCAAGUCAUUGGGCAGCCAAAUACACAAGUUGUAUCAAAUGCAGAAAGGUCAAAUUCGGAAUAAAAACUGUAUUGAUUGAGCCAGAAUUAAAAUGCACGAUAUAUACCUUUGGAAAGAUAAUUAAGUUAGCUUUCCAAUAAAUUUUACAGAGCUGGAUUUGGAGUUCUCUAGAAGGAGUUAUGACCAAUUCUUUACAGCUUGUUCAGACUUGGGAUUUUCCACGAAUCCUUUGUUUUUCAACUUAUUUGUUUGUUUUGUUUCAAGCUUGUCAAUGUGUAAGGUAAGUCUACCAUCAAUGAUGGUGGGCUAACAUUAAGUUUGUCAAUGAUAGAAUUAAUUAUAGUAGGCUAGCAUUAAGUUUGUCAAAGAUAGCAUUGAUCAUGGUGGGUUGGUGAAGACUUUUGAAACAUCUUUUGACAAACUUACUUGGAGGGUUGUUCCAAUGUUUCCAUUUGUAUUUUUAGGAUCUUGGGUUCCUUUUAGCCUAUUUAAAUUUGAAAGAUUAUUCUUUNNNNNNNNNNNNNNNNNNNNNNNNNNNNNNNNNNNNNNNNNNNNNNNNNNNNNNNNNNNNNNNNNNNNNNNNNNNNNNNNNNNNNNNNNNNNNNNNNNNNUGGUGUUCCAAAUUUAGACUUAUCACUCAUCUUCUCAUCUUUUCUUGAGUGUGGCGUCAAUACCCUUCUCUAUACCUUUGGUUCAUGUUUUCUUAAGCAUUGGGUCAAGGUUUUUGUUUGCCAUAAAUCUGUUUAGAACUUUCUUGGGAAGUUGAAACUACAAAUUAAGUGUAGGAUUGAAAGUUUCAUUGUGGGAUUCGUAUCAUUUGGUAUCAGAGCUAGUUUCUAAUCAGGUUUGAAUGUCUUAUUUAUUUUGAUUAUCAAAAAAAAAAAGAAAAAAAAACGUACAAAAAAAAAGAUUACAAAAAAAGAGUCAAGUAUUUUUACUUUCAUAGUUUACACAUAUCAAUUGUGUUGCUUUGCUUGCUUGCUUUCUUUUCUUCAAUUUCCUUUUCAUUCUUUGUGUCCUCUUAAUUUCUUUUCUUUGUUAGUGUGCUGGAUUGUCAUAUUUGGUGUGCCACUUGGGUUUUUUUUUCUUGAUUUUGUUUAUUUAGUUCAAUAAAGAACUGAAAGAGAGAAUUAAGUGUGGUAAAAGGCAAUUUGUGUGUUAAACACGAGAGUUAAGUGACAUCAAAAUUGAGUGAAAUACGUGAGGGAGUGUUGUGAGGUCUUUUUGCUAACAAUUUUUUUUUCAGAUCACAAAUAUGUCAAAAGAUCAAGAAGCUAUAGACCAAUCAAUCAUGCUCAAAGCCAUGCAACAACAAUUUGAGCACAUGAAUCUGAUGUUUGGAGAGAUCCGUGACAAAUUGGAGAGGCAAGACACUGCCAUAGCCAAUCUACAAAGGGGGCAACAACCAAUAGCUCCUAAUGUAAGAGGUAAUCAAGGGCGUGCUGUCAUGGGAGAAGAAGAUGGCGAUGACGUAGAUGAUUUUGAUGACCAGGCCACUGUUGACAUGCGUGGAAGAGAUAAUAGAAGGGCAAGACGUAUAGAUCGUGAUUUGGGGAGUAUAAAACUGAAAAUUCCUUCUUUUCAAGGUAAACAUGAUCCGGAAGCUUGUUUAGAGUGGGAAAAAAAGGUGGAGCUAGUAUUUGAUUGCCACAACUACUCUGAGGAGAAAAAGGUAAAACUAGCUGCUGUUGAAUUUACUGAUUAUGCUAUUAUUUGGUGGGAUCAACUUGUUUUGAGUAGGAGACGAAAUCGUGAAAGGCCUAUAAACACUUGGGAGGAGAUGAAGGCCAUUAUGAGGAGGAGAUUUGUUCCUAGUCAUUAUUAUAGGGAGCUGCACCAAAGGCUUCAAAGUCUUACACAAGGUUCUAGAAGUGUGGAAGAUUACCACAAGGAGAUGGAAAUAAUCAUGAUUCGAGCCAACAUUGAAGAAGAACGAGAGGCCACUAUGGCAAGAUUUUUACAUGGGUUAAAUCAAGAUAUUGCUAAUGUGGUUGACUUGCAGCACUAUGUUGAGUUGGAAGACAUGGUUCACAUGGCCAUGAAAGUGGAACGACAAUUGAAAAAGAAAGGUUCCACUAGAACCAAUUUGGGUUCAUCUUCCUCAUGGAAGUCAAAAUGGAACAAAGAUGAAAAGGUUGUUUCAAAGCCUAAGAUUGAGCCAAUCAAGGAUCAUAAAGAGGGAGGCAACCAAAGUAAAGGUAAAUCUGAUUCCCAACACUCUAGAAAUAGAGAUAUUAAGUGUUUUAAAUGUUUGGGGACAGGUCAUAUUGCAUCUCAAUGCCCAAAUAAAAGAGUAAUGAUCUUGAGGGAUAAUGGUGAUGUUGAAACCGAGAGUGAAUCAGAUGAUGAUCCUAUGCCACCUUUGGAGGAUGCUAAUGAUGGUGUAGAAUAUCCUGUUGAUGGUAAGUUGAUGGUUGCUAGGCGUGCUCUCAACAUGCAAGUUAAAGAGGAUGCGGAGGUACAACGUGAUAACAUCUUUCAUACUAGAUGCCACAUCAAAGAUAAGGUAUGUAGUAUGAUAAUUGAUGGAGGAAGUUGUACUAAUGUAGCUAGCACUAGUUUAGUUGAAAAAUUAAAUUUGAAAACUUUGAAACAUCCAAGGCCAUAUAAGCUACAAUGGCUGAAUGAUUGUGGGGAAGUUAAAGUAAAUAAACAAGUGCUGGUUUCAUUCUCUAUUGGGAGAUACAAGGAUGAGGUUCUAUGUGAUGUAGUACCCAUGCAUGCUGGACACAUUCUUUUGGGUCGACCUUGGCAAUAUGAUAGGCGUGUGACACAUGAUGGAUACUUAAAUAGAUAUUCUUUUGUAAUGAAUAAAAGGCAAAUCACUCUUGUACCAUUAACACCUAGGCAAGUGUAUGAGGAUCAAAUGUCAAUAAAAAAAGAGAGUGAUACAAAAAAUGAAAAUGAGAGUACAAAAGAAAGAGAGAUUGAGAGAAAAGCAAGUGAAAAGAUACAAAAAAAUAUUGUUGAGAGAAAAGAGAGGCAGCAAGUGAACUUGUUUGCAAAAGAGAGCGAGGUUAAGAGGGCUUUUUUUUCAAAACAGCCUAUCGUUGUACUUUUGUGCAAAGAGGCUUGUUUACACACUAAUGAGCUUAACUUUUCUUUGCCUAGUGCUAUUGUGACUCUUUUGCAGGACUUUGAUGAUGUGUUUCCAAAUGAAGUCCCUAACGGUUUGCCACCUAUUAGGGGAAUUGAGCAUCAAAUAGACUUCGUCCCUGGAGCUACCAUUCCUAAUAGACCUGCAUAUAGAAGUAACCCCGAGGAGACAAAGGAGCUUCAAAGGCAAGUUGAAGAACUCUUGGCAAAAGGAUAUGUGAGGGAGAGCAUGAGUCCAUGUGCAGUACCAGUUUUACUAGUGCCCAAAAAGGAUGGAACAUGGAGGAUGUGUGUUGACUGUCGUGCAAUUAAUAAAAUCACUGUAAAGUAUCGACAUCCUAUUCCUAGACUUGAUGACAUGCUUGAUGAAUUGCAUGGUUCUUGUGUGUUUAGUAAAAUUGAUCUUAAAAGUGGGUAUCAUCAAAUUAGGAUUAGAGAGGGAGAUGAGUGGAAAACUGCCUUUAAAACAAAAUAUGGUUUAUAUGAGUGGUUAGUGAUGCCAUUUGGGUUAUCUAAUGCACCUAGCACUUUUAUGAGGUUAAUGAACCAUGUUUUGCGUGCUUUUAUUGGAAAAUUCGUAGUUGUCUAUUUUGAUGAUAUUUUGAUCUAUAGCAAAGGCUUAGAUGAACACAUUGAACAUUUGCAAAGUGUAUUGACUGUUUUAAGGAAGGAAAAGUUGUAUGCUAAUUUGAAGAAGUGUUCCUUUUGUACAAAUCAGAUUGUUUUUCUUGGUUAUGUUGCAAGUGCUAAAGGAAUUAAGGUUGAUGAAGAGAAGGUAAAGGCUAUUAAAGAGUGGCCUACACCUAAAAGUGUAAGUGAGGUAAGAAGUUUUCAUGGUUUGGCUAGUUUUUAUAGAAGAUUUGUGAAAGAUUUUAGCACCCUUGCUGCACCAUUAACUGAAAUUGUGAAGAAACAUGUGGGAUUUAAGUGGGGUAGUGAACAAGAAAAGGCAUUUAAUCUAAUUAAGGAGAAAUUAAUUUCUGCACCAUUACUUGCUUUACCUGAUUUUACUAAAACUUUUGAAAUUGAGUGUGAUGCUUCAGGUAUAGGUAUUGGAGCUGUUUUGAUGCAAGAAGGGCGUCCAAUUGCUUAUUUUAGUGAGAAAUUGGGUGGAGCAGCCCUAAACUAUCCUACCUAUGACAAGGAGAUGUAUGCAUUGGUGAGAGCUUUGGAAACUUGGCAACAUCAUCUUCUACCUAAAGAGUUUGUUAUACACACUGAUCAUGAGUCCUUGAAGCAUUUGAAAGGGCAAGGUAAGUUACAUAAGAGACAUGCCAAAUGGGUUGAAUUUAUUGAGCCAUUUCCUUAUGUGAUCAAAUAUAAACAAGGUAAGGAGAAUGUGGUGGCUGAUGCAUUAUCUAGAAGGUAUGCACUUAUCUCUACAUUAAAUGCAAAGUUGUUAGGAUUUGAGUACAUUAAAGAAUUAUAUGCUAACGAUCCUGAUUUUGCUAAUGUGUUUAAUGCUUGUGAGAAAGUUGCAUUUGGUAAAUUCUAUAAGCAUGAUGGGCUUUUAUUUAGAGAAAAUAAAUUGUGUGUGCCUUAUAGUUCUUUGCGUGAAUUGCUUGUGCAUGAAGCUCAUGGGGGUGGUUUAAUGGGACAUUUUGGCAUUGCAAAGAUUUUAGAUGUUUUAAAAGAACAAUUCUUUUGGCCACAUAUGAAACGUGAUGUUGAAAGAAUAUGUGAGAAGUGUAUCACUUGUAAACAUGCUAAGUCAAGAGUUUUACCCCAUGGAUUGUAUAACCCUCUGCCCAUACCUAGUGAACCUUGGGUUGAUAUUUCUAUGGACUUUGUUUUGGGUUUACCUAGGUCAAAAAGGGGAAAUGAUUCUGUUUUUGUUGUUGUUGAUAGGUUUUCAAAGAUGGCGCAUUUCAUUCCAUGUCAUAAAACUGAUGAUGCGACAAGCAUAGCUAAUUUGUUUUUCAAGGAAAUAGUCAGGUUGCAUGGAGUACCAAGGAGCAUAGUUUCAGAUCGAGAUGCUAAGUUCUUGAGCCACUUUUGGAAAACUUUGUGGGGUAAGUUGGGUACUAAACUUUUGUUUUCUACUACUUGUCAUCCACAAACUGAUGGACAAACUGAGGUUGUAAAUAGAACUCUGUCUACUUUGUUGCGUGCCAUUAUUCAAAAGAACUUGAAAACUUGGGAAGAAUGUUUGCCACAUGUUGAAUUUGCUUACAAUAGAACUGUCCAUUCAGCUACUAAAUUCUCACCAUUUGAGAUUGUAUAUGGUUUUAAUCCAUUAACUCCUUUGGAUUUAUUACCUUUACCUAUUGAUGAACGUGCUAGUAUGGAUGGUAAAAAGAAAGCUGAAUUUGUCAAGCAAUUGCAUGAGAGAACACGUCAACACAUAGAAAAGCGAAUUGAACAAUAUGCUACUCAAGCCAACAAAGGACGUAAGCAAGUGGUUUUUCAGCCUGGAGAUUGGGUUUGGGUGCAUAUGAGAAAGGAGAGGUUCCCAGCACAAAGGCGUUCCAAGUUACUUCCAAGGGGAGAUGGUCCAUUUCAAGUGGUUGCACGGAUCAAUGACAAUGCCUACAAAUUGGAUCUUCCUGGUGAGUAUAAUGUGAGUGCUACUUUCAAUGUUUCUGAUCUUUCUCCUUUCGAUGUAGGUGAAGAUUCGAGGACGAAUCCUUUUGAAGAGAGGGGGAAUUAUGAGAACCAUCAAGGGACCAUUAAAACUUCAAGUGAUCUUUUGCACAUUCAUGGAGGCCCAAUUACAAGAGCAAGAGCCAAAAAGAUGCAAGCUGCUUUAAAUGGAUUAAUUGAGAAAAUAUGGAUUGAAAAUGCAAUUCAAGAUGCAAGACAUCAUGAAUUGAGCUUGAAGAGAAGACAAGGCAUUGUGGGCAUUAUUCAAGUCAUUGGGCAGCCAAAUACACAAGUUGUAUCAAAUGCAGAAAGGUCAAAUUCGGAAUAAAAACUGUAUUGAUUGAGCCAGAAUUAAAAUGCACGAUAUAUACCUUUGGAAAGAUAAUUAAGUUAGCUUUCCAAUAAAUUUUACAGAGCUGGAUUUGGAGUUCUCUAGAAGGAGUUAUGACCAAUUCUUUACAGCUUGUUCAGACUUGGGAUUUUCAACGAAUCCUUUGUUUUUCAACUUAUUUGUUUGUUUUGUUUCAAGCUUGUCAAUGUGUAAGGUAAGUCUACCAUCAAUGAUGGUGGGCUAAUAUUAAGUUUGUCAAUGAUAGCAUUAAUUAUAGUAGGCUAGCAUUAAGUUUGUCAAAGAUAGCAUUGAUCAUGGUGGGUUGGUGAAGACUUUUGAAACAUCUUUUGACAAACUUACUUGGAGGGUUGUUCCAAUGUUUCCAUUUGUAUUUUUAGGAUCUUGAGUUCCUUUUAGCCUAUUUAAAUUCAGCAACCUUGGUAUGUAAGGAGAUGAAUGUUAUUUUGAAUUUGAAAGAUUAUUCUUUCUUUGGUUCUUUUGAGAACUAGUGAACUUAUCAAGAAUUUACAUUCUUGUGGUGUUCCAAAUUUAGACUUAUCACUCAUCUUCUCAUCUUUUUCUUGAGUGUGGCGUCAAUACCCUUCUCUAUACCUUUGGUUCAUGUUUUCUUAAGCAUUGGGUCAAGGUUUUUGUUUGCCAUAAAUCUGUUUAGAACUUUCUUGGGAAGUUGAAACUACAAAUUAAGUGUAGGAUUGAAAGUUUCAUUGUGGGAUUCGUAUCAAAAUGUGCUUUCAGUGACUAAUCAUAUUAUUUUCUGUUAUUUGAAUGACACAUAGAUACUAACAUAUUCUUCAUUUAAAAAAAAUUAAAAAAUAAUUCCAAUUCAAAUUCUACUCACAUCCGAAUGUAUGUUCUUACAAUCAGACUAAGUAGAUGAUGAAUGGAGAUCAUAAUCUCUAUAGAAAGAAUAUGGAGCUUCAAAGCACUUGGGUUGUUUGACAUUACUCCCUUCAACCUUGAGAGAAUUUGAAAUAACAUUAGGAGAAGUCAACCAGCUCUGAAUACAGAGCAAGGAUAUACGAAAAGAAAAGACAAAUAUGCCAUAAAAAGAGAUUUCUAAUAUUCCAAACUAAUUAGAGACUAAGAACUAUGGCCAAUGAGCAUAAAACAAGCAGUAAUGACAUUUGAUAAACAUUUCCAGGGAAUUACCCAAGUGAUAUUAGCAAAAGUAAAUCUUAAUAAAACAUUUCUAAAGACAGAGUCAAAUACAAUGACAACAAUAUCCCCUCACCACUCAUUUUAACAUAAAACCAAGAGUUAUACAAAGAAAAAAAAUUAGAAAAUAAACACAAAAAGUAUUCACUGCUGCUCGAUCAAAAAACAAAAACCAAAAGUAAAACAAGUAGGUAACAAGAUAAGGUCACUUGUCUGUUACAAUGAGAAUAAUGACCGUCAGGGCACAGAGAUCUCCCUGAAAAGCCUCCCCUCAUAUUCUGAUGACUCACAGACCCUAAGCAAUGAAAGAAUAUGGAAGGAAAGAUUAGGGCUUAGAUUAUUAUUAUUUUUUAAUUUUUUAAGAACUAAAAUAACUUUUCAGUCUCGUAGUUUGAAAAGCCAGACUCUAGGAAAUCACAAUUCAAGAAACAUUGACAAUUAAACAAAAUCCAGACCCCAUCCAAGGUUUUAGGAUCAAAGACCAAAUCAUGUGGUAUGCUAGUUUGUGAUCUAAAGGCAUAUAAACUAGCUCAACUUGGUGGUGUAAACAAGUAACCGAAGGAAUCAAUCAAAGAAACCAGCUGUGUAAAACACUUUCAAUUUAAAAAAUCAAUGACAUUUAACUGAAAUUUCAUCUCAAAUUUAUCCAAUUAGAUAAAAAGAAAUUUAAAAACUUAUAUAAACAUGCAAGUAUUUGUGAAAAUAAGGAACGAAGAGAGAAGAUUUACUGUGAAUCUACUGCAAGAAUUUGUCAAAAGCUCUACUUGGACUACCGUUCGUCAAGAUCUUCUUUUGUGAAAAGAACUGCACCACUCAUUACUCAAAUGUCUACACCCCAAAAGCUUCAUUUCACGUCACCAUGCCACCAUCCGAUUACAAUUACAUGCCAAAUAUUUAUAUAUUAACAUUUAGAGUAAAAAUUAAAAGCAAACAGGAAAAGGGUGUUGAAUGAAGACUCACCGUAACCCAAUAGAAUUGAAUUAACCAAGGCCAAAAGAACACAGAUGAAUGCAUGCUUUUUGAGCCCUUUCUUUUGACGACUCAUAACUGCUUCUACAUUUUGAUAAUUAUCGGGUCCUGCUGCUCUAGCGGUCUCUAUUUUCGGCUCCAAUCAACCUAGUAGCUAUGCUUGCGAUGGUCAAUACGACAGCAGUUUAGUCAUGUUGGAAUAGCGAUGGCAGCUCGGCUGGUGGCCGGUGAGGCUUUGAGUGUGUGAGGACUGAGAUAUUGUGAGAGCGGCUAGGGUUUCUAAAGAAAUAGUAGAAUAUGAAGUAUUUAUACUUUAGGUGAAAAAUCAUAAAAAUUCAAUUUGAUACAUAUUAAAAAUAGAAUAAAAUUUGAUAAAUAUUU